AUACGUAGGGGGCGAGCGUUGUCCGGAAUGACUGGGCGUAAAGGGCGUGUAGGCGGCGGUGUAAGUCUGGAGUGAAAGUCCCGCAUUCAAUGUGGGAAUUGCUUUGGAUACUGCAGUGCUAGAGUGCGGAAGAGGUAAGUGGAAUUCCCAGUGUAGCGGUGAAAUGCGUAGAGAUUGGGAGGAACACCAGUGGCGAAGGCGACUUACUGGGCCGUAACUGACGCUGAGGCGCGAAAGCGUGGGGAGCGAACAGGAUUAGAUACCCUGGUAGUCCACGCUGUAAACGAUGAAUGCUAGGUGUAGGGGGUAUCGACCCCUUCUGUGCCGCAGUCAACACAAUAAGCAUUCCGCCUGGGGAGUACGGCCGCAAGGUUGUAACUCAAAUGAAUUGGCGGGG
rnacentral:rRNA from 1 species